AUGAACCUAAAAUUUCUUAUUAUUUUAUACCACCUUUUGUAUUUAUGUCCUUGUGCACACCAUCUGGAUGCUUUGAAAGUAUUUACCCAGCUUUCUUUUGAUUUGAGUUGUCUUUAUGUCAAGGACUAUUACAUAGAAUUAAGAAAGGCCAUAGUUAACCAGAAUAACAACUGCGGCAUUUCCUUGCAGAAAAUCUAUAAUGUUAUUUGCAGUGGUGAUGAUAGCGGGUCUUCCGAAUCGCUUCCUCAGCCUAACAACGCAGCCUACAAACCAACUUUUAUCAACAUCAGUAAUGAUGCUGGCCCUUCGCACCGUCGCCUGAAAGCCAAGAAAAAGAAAAGAAAAAGGAGCACACAUUGCAUGGGGCACCAGGCACUAUCUACUUUCUAA
rnacentral:rRNA from 1 species